ACGCCAGUAGCUCAAUUGGUAGAGUAGCGGUCUCCAAAACCGCCUGUUGGGGGUUCGAGUCCCUCCUGGCGUGCAA
rnacentral:tRNA from 3 species